CAUGCAAACCCAAAGUCGCUUUUUGGGUUUCCAGUAAUUACAGAUUGUGUCUUGGGUCAAACACUUUCACCUUGACGAAGGCAACCACCAUUGACCAGCAUUGAUACAUGGAUCAACAUUAGAUUUACAGCAAUUUAACUCAUUUCUAACUGAGCAGUUAGACGAAAUAAAAAGUAAUCCUAAAUUGUUAUCAAUCGCAUGAUUAGAUAAGUGCUUAUUUUUCCAGAUGAUUGGGUACCUUGAAUAUUUUUUGGUUUCUUUCCUAAUCCUAUUCGCAAUUUACUAAUCAUAAUCAAACAUCUUGAGAAUGUAUUAAAAGUCCAAUCGACUCUCAAGUAUCCUUAAAUUAUCAUUUUUACAGUAAAACUAAUAACUGCUCUAAUCAACUCAUUGGAAAUCAACUCAAUUUCAUGUUUUUUACACCAAUCAUCAUUUUUGCUGCUCAUGGCAAUCACUUUCAAUGGAAACCCAAUUAAAAUGAAAUCUCAAAUUUUCUCUGUUUUCCAAGUCAAACCUAUCUGAAGGGAUCAGUUAAUUGUAGAGAUACAAAUUAAUUCUGGUUCAGCUUAUGUUGAUCGAGUUGUAUCGAUAGUUGAUCUUAUAAUGCAAAAAAGCUUCAAUCAAUUAAAUAGCAACAAACUGUUGUCAACAGUAAGCAAGGAGAAGAAGUAGAAAAAAUCUCAUUCCUUGUUGAUGGGUUCAACCAACAUUGAGCUGAAGAAGAUAGUUGAUAAAAAAAAGGUAAACUCCUCUUGGCCAUAAACAAGAUUCCAGAAGAAGGUCAAGCUGCGUGUUCAACAUCAACAUUCUCAUCAUGUUAAUCAUCAAGACAGAUAUUGACUAAAAGAUAAUCUCCUUUCCUUUGGGUUGAUUGGGCUGCUUUAAUUAAACCGUUUCAAUGCUGCACUGGCUUCUAACAGAUUUAAUAACAGACGAACUUUGAUUGCCGCUUAUAUGGCUGAAUCAUUUUUCUUUAUCAAUUGUAGCAUUAACUCCUAAUUUGGCUUUAAAUCAUUUCUGUUGAUUUAUUUGUUUGCAGUCUUCUUCAUCCUUCUUCAUCUUUAAAGCCGACCAUCUUUUACUCAUCUUACAACCGUUAAUUCAAGAUUGCGAUUUAUCCAUUAGAUUUACUUUACAUGGAAAUGUGACUUUGCUCUUAUAAGGCUGUGAUUUAUUGAUCACCAGUUGAUCUAUUCUGAUUACCUGGAGCAAACAGGUUUUAAAACAUAGAACGGUCAUUGAAUAAUUCCAGUCAGUAAAAACUCAAUAAAUUCCUGAAUGAGAAGCUGAAAAGUUUCAAAAAAUCCUGGUUUUGUUGCUAGGAGAUCAAAACAUGCAGUCUGGAUGUAUGGAUGAUUUGUCAAGAAUAAAAUUCAAAGCAAUUCUUUCAAUGUGUUGGGCUGGGCUCAACUACGUAAUGUCAAACAUUGAAGAUGACUUUUUUACAUCACGAUAACGCCUUUGAUAAGCAUCAUCUGGACAGUUUAAUGACAGUUUAUUUUGCAAAAAAUAUCGGAUAAACAAAAACUUUGAUUCAAACGUUAAAUACAUGGCUACUGGAUUAAUAAUGGUGCUGCCUGAUCUUCCUCGCUGUUUACACCAUACUUAUUCAUUUAAACCAGAUUGGUGAAUGCAAAUAAAUGGAAAUGAUAAAUUACAUCAAAUACUAUAUUAGUAACCAGGAAGAAAGUGUCUCUUUGUUAAUCAUCGAAAAUCGGAAUAUUGCCGCGCUAAUAUUAACCAGUUGCUCAAAGAACGGAAUCGUUGUAAAAGCAGUUCUUUAACCUUAUCUCAUAAAAUCAUAUUCAAGCCGAUCAAAAUCUAAUCAAGGAAACCUCGAAGCAAUCAUGGAGCGAUUGUAAUGUGCCUAAAUAUAUCGAACAACAUUGACAUCUGGUUUCGGACUGUACUAAGAAUAGUUUAACUAAUCUCUCAAUCAAGAUGAAUCAAGCUAUGGAAAACAAUCUUCCUGAAUCGUUCGCUCUACAAGUUUAGACAUCUGAUUCAGCUUCGUUCUUUGAUGGAAGGAGAAACAGAUAUUCAAUGCACCCGGUAUACACAUUUGAUGAUGCAUGAAUAUUCAGUUAAUCCAACUAAGGAAGUUUUUCUUCGUUAUCACGGGAAUUUCAUCUACUAUUAUGAUGAUGCAAAUACACUCAAGUCGAUGAGGAUUACAGCAGAGAUUUAAGCAAUUGAUAUUUUUUGAUUGCUGGUUCAAUCUGUUUUAUUCGAAAAUUGUCUUCCUUGGCAUUUGUUCACUUCCAUAUAACCUGUCGAUUGACUUUGCAUACAGAGCUCAGAACUGUGUGACACAACUUCACAUAAAUAAUGAUGAUUCUAAAGACAAUCUACAUUUAAAUCGGUUUUCCUUUCCAGCGGCUUUUUCCAGUGAAGAAAAGCCUUUGAUGGCAUACAAACUCAGAACUUUCGGUACUAUUCAAGACAAGCAUCUUAGGCUGAUCGUUUUGAUAAUCUCCUUUUAUUUGGUGGGUCAGUGAAAUCAGUUUCAACAUCAUAAGAUACAUUUGAUUUAAAACCAGGUGAUGAUGAAGAGGAGGACGAGGAUGAAG